UACGAAGGGGGCUAGCGUUGCUCGGAAUUACUGGGCGUAAAGCGCACGUAGGCGGCUCUUUAAGUCGGGGGUGAAAUCCUGGAGCUCAACUCCAGAACUGCCUUCGAUACUGGAGCUCGAGUCCGGGAGAGGUGAGUGGAACUGCGAGUGUAGAGGUGAAAUUCGUAGAUAUUCGCAAGAACACCAGUGGCGAAGGCGGCUCACUGGCCCGGUACUGACGCUGAGGUGCGAAAGCGUGGGGAG
rnacentral:rRNA from 1 species